rnacentral:rRNA from 1 species
UUCCGGUUGAUCCCGCCGGAGGCCAUUGCUAUCGGAGUCGAAAAGCCAUGCUAGUCGCACGGGUUAGACCCGUGGCAGAUAGCUCAGUAACACGUGGCCAAACUGCCCUAUGGACAGGGACAACCUCGGGAAACUGAGGCCAAUCCCUGAUACAGCUCUCAGACUGGAGUGUCGAGAGCUGGAAACGCUCCGGCGCCAUAGGAUGUGGCUGCGGCCGAUUAGGUAGAUGGUGGGGUAACGGCCCACCAUGCCGAUAAUCGGUACGGGUUGUGAGAGCAAGAGCCCGGAGACGGAAUCUGAGACAAGAUUCCGGGCCCUACGGGGCGCAGCAGGCGCGAAACCUUUACACUGCACGACAGUGCGAUAGGGGGACUCCGAGUGCGAGGGCAUAUAGUCCUCGCUUUUCUGUACCGUAAGGUGGUACAGGAACAAGUGCUGGGCAAGACCGGUGCCAGCCGCCGCGGUAAUACCGGCAGCACGAGUGAUGGCCGAUCUUAUUGGGCCUAAAGCGUCCGUAGCCGGCCGGACAAGUCCGUUGGGAAAUCGACGCGCUCAACGCGUCGGCGUCCAGCGGAAACUGUUCGGCUUGGGGCCGGAAGACCUGAGGGGUACGUCCGGGGUAGGAGUGAAAUCCCGUAAUCCUGGACGGACCGCCGGUGGCGAAAGCGCCUCAGGAAGACGGACCCGACGGUGAGGGACGAAAGCUAGGGUCUCGAACCGGAUUAGAUACCCGGGUAGUCCUAGCUGUAAACAAUGCUCGCUAGGUGUGCCGCAGGCUACGAGCCUGCGCUGUGCCCUAGGGAAGCCGAGAAGCGAGCCGCCUGGGAAGUACGUCCGCAAGGAUGAAACUUAAAGGAAUUGGCGGGGGAGCACUACAACCGGAGGAGCCUGCGGUUUAAUUGGAUUCAACGCCGGGAUCUUUCUAGAA